GACGAACGCUGGCGGCGUGCUUAACACAUGCGAGUCGUACGGUAAGGCCCUUUCGGGGGUACACGAGUGGCGAACGGGUGAGUAACACGUGAGUAACCUGCCCACAACUUUGGGAUAACGCUAGGAAACUGGUGCUAAUACUGGAUAUGUGCUCCUGCUGCAUGGUGGGGGUUGGAAAGCUCCGGCGGUUGUGGAUGGACUCGCGGCCUAUCAGCUUGUUGGUGGGGUAGUGGCCUACCAAGGCGGCGACGGGUAGCCGGCCUGAGAGGGUGACCGGCCACAUUGGGACUGAGGUACGGCCCAGACGCCUACGGGAGGCAGCAGUGGGGAAUAUUGCACAAUGGGCGCAAGCCUGAUGCAGCAACGCCGCGUGCGGGAUGACGGCCUUCGGGUUGUAAACCGCUUUCAGCAGGGACGAAGCUUUUUGUGACGGUACCUGCAGAAGAAGCACCGGCUAACUACGUG
rnacentral:rRNA from 1 species